AGGCAUGUGCCGGUAAAUGUUAGUUGCCUGCUCUGGGAAACCAUGCUGUGAGGCAGCCCAAGGUAGAGACCACACGGAGAAGAUGCCAGGUGGAAUAUUCCAGUGGACAGCCCCCAGUGAGGUGUCAGCCAACAGCCAUUUCCAGGCAUGUAGGUAAAACAACUUCAGAUGAUUCCAGGCUUUGACAAGCCAGCCCUACUAUAGCCUGUUCAAAUUCCCAAU
rnacentral:lncRNA from 10 species